AUUGAACGCUGGCGGCAGGCCUAACACAUGCAAGUCGAGCGGAGCGGCGGACGGGUGAGUAAUGCCUAGGAAUCUGCCUGGUAGUGGGGGAUAACGGCCGGAAAUGGGCGGUAAUACCGCAUCCUCUCAGACGAGCCUAGGCCGGAUUAGAUAGUUGGUGGGGUAAAGGAUUCCCAAGGCGACGAUCCGUAACUGGUCUGAGAGGAUGAUCAGUCACACUUGAAGUGGGACACGGUCCAGACUACUACGGGAGGCAGCAGUGGGGAAUAUUGGACAAUGGGCGCAAGCCUGAUGCAGCCACGCCGCGUGUGUGAAGAAGGCCUCCGGGUUGUAAAGCACUUGCAGCGGGGAGGCGUUACCCGCAGAAGAAGCACCGGCUAACUCAGUGCCAGCCGCCGCGGUAAUAC
rnacentral:rRNA from 1 species